GUAACACGUGGAUAACCUACCUAUAAGACUGGGAUAACUUCGGGAAACCGGAGCUAAUACCGGAUAACAUGUUGAACCGCAUGGUUCAACAGUGAAAGACGGUCUUGCUGUCACUUAUAGAUGGAUCCGCGCCGCAUUAGCUAGUUGGUAAGGUAACGGCUUACCAAGGCAACGAUGCAUAGCCGACCUGAGAGGGUGAUCGGCCACACUGGAACUGAGACACGGUCCAG
rnacentral:rRNA from 1 species